rnacentral:rRNA from 1 species
UACAGAGGUCUCAAGCGUUGUUCGGAUUCAUUGGGCGUAAAGGGUGCGUAGGCGGCGCGGUAAGUCGGGUGUGAAAUCUCGGAGCUUAACUCCGAAACUGCAUUCGAUACUGCCGUGCUUGAGGACUGGAGAGGAGACUGGAAUUUACGGUGUAGCGGUGAAAUGCGUAGAUAUCGUAAGGAAGACCAGUGGCGAAGGCGGGUCUCUGGACAGUUCCUGACGCUGAGGCACGAGGUCAGGGGAGCAAACGGG